UGGCGGCUGCUAAUACAUGCAAGUCGAGCGGACUUGAUGGAGUGCUUGCACUCCUGAUGGUUAGCGGCGGACGGGUGAGUAACACGUAGGUAACCUGCCUGUAAGACUGGGAUAACUAGCGGAAACGUUAGCUAAUACCGGAUAAUUUAUUUUCUCGCAUGGGGAAGUAAUGAAAGACGGAGCAAUCUGUCACUUAUAGAUGGACCUGCGGCGCAUUAGCUAGUUGGUGGGGUAAUGGCUCACCAAGGCGACGAUGCGUAGCCGACCUGAGAGGGUGAACGGCCACACUGGGACUGAGACACGGCCCAGACUCCUACGGGAGGCAGCAGUAGGGAAUCUUCCGCAAUGGACGAAAGUCUGACGGAGCAACGCCGCGUGAGUGAUGAAGGUUUUCGGAUCGUAAAGCUCUGUUGCCAGGGAAGAACGUCCGGUAGAGUAACUGCUACCGGAGUGACGGUACCUGAGAAGAAAGCCCCGGCUAACUACGUGCCAGCAGCCGCRGUAAUACA
rnacentral:rRNA from 1 species